rnacentral:rRNA from 1 species
GGGAAACCGGCGAACGGGUGCGUAACACGUGAGGAACCUCGCCCGAAGACCGGGAUACGCCGGGGAAACCCCGGAUUAAUACCGGAUACCCUCAUCGGACCGCAUGGUCUGUUGAGGAAAUGGUCAGCCGCUUCGGGAUGGCCUCGCGGCCUAUCAGCUUGUUGGUGAGGUAACGGCUCACCAAGGCAAAGACGGGUAGCUGGUCUGAGAGGACGAUCAGCCACACUGGGACUGAGACACGGCCCAGACUCCUACGGGAGGCAGCAGCAGGGAAUAUUGCACAAUGGGCGAAAGCCUGAUGCAGCGACACCGCGUGCGGGAUGAAGGCCUUCGGGUUGUAAACCGCUUUCAGGAGGGACGAAAAUGACGGUACCUCCAGAAGAAGGCCCGGCCAACUACGUG